rnacentral:tRNA from 1 species
CGGGAUAGCUCAGUUGGUAGAGCAGAGGACUGAAAAUCCUCGUGUGACCAGUUCAAAUAAAC